rnacentral:rRNA from 1 species
UACGUAGGGUGCAAGCGUUAAUCGGAGUUACUGGGCGUAAAGCGUGCGCAGGCGGUUUUGUAAGUCUGACGUGAAAUCCCCGGGCUCAACCUGGGAAUUGCGAUUGGAGACUGCAAGGCUAGAAUCUGGCAGAGGGGGGUAGAAUUCCACGUGUAGCAGUGAAAUGCGUAGAGAUGUGGAGGAACACCGAUGGCGAAGGCAGCCCCCUGGGUCAAGAUUGACGCUCAUGCACGAAAGCGUGGGGGCAAACAGG